UACGUAGGGGGCAAGCGUUGUUCGGAUUUACUGGGCGUAAAGCGCACGUAGGCGGAUCGUUAAGUCGGGGGUGAAAUCCUGGAGCUCAACUCCAGAACUGCCUUCGAUACUGGCGAUCUCGAGUCCGGAAGAGGUGAGUGGAACUCCUAGUGUAGAGGUGGAAUUCGUAGAUAUUAGGAAGAACACCAGUGGCGAAGGCGGCUCACUGGUCCGGUACUGACGCUGAGGUGCGAAAGCGUGGGGAGCAAACAGG
rnacentral:rRNA from 1 species